rnacentral:tRNA from 1 species
AAUUUUUUAGUAUAGUAUGUACAUUUAGCUUCCAACUAAAAAGUCUAAUUUUUAGAAAAAUUA